UACGGAGGGUGCAAGCGUUAUCCGGAUUCACUGGGUUUAAAGGGAGCGCAGGCGGAUUUGUAAGUCAGUGGUGAAAGGCUUAAGCUUAACUUGGGAACUGCCAUUGAUACUAUAAGUCUUGAAUGUUGUUGAGGUUUGCGGAAUGGGUCAUGUAGCGGUGAAAUGCAUAGAUAUGACCCGGAACACCUAUUGCGAAGGCAGCAGGCUAAACAAAUAUUGACGCUGAGGCUCGAAAGCGUGGAGAUCAAACAGG
rnacentral:rRNA from 1 species